AUAUCUCUCCGUACGGGAAGGAUGAGAAGCUUCGACUAAGGUUCGAUUCGAGCGCAGCGAGAAAGCGUUGCCGC
rnacentral:sRNA from 2 species